GACGAACGCUGGCGGCGUGCCUAAUACAUGCAAGUCGAACGGUUUAGCUCCAAGAGUCCACUCUCUUGGAACUAAGCAGUGGCGGGCGGGUGAGUAACACCUAGGCCACCUACCUGUCAAACCGGGAUAACCUCGGGAAUCCGAUGCUAAACCCGAAUAAGCUCCUUUUUCGCAUGUAGGGCGUGUGAAAUGGUGCGACUUGAUGACAGAUUGGCCUGCGGUGCAUUAGCUGGUGGGGAGGGUCACGGCCUACCGAGGCUAUGAUGCGGAGGCGAGCUGAGAGGGAGUACGGCUGGAAUGGGACUGAGGUACAGCCCACUCACGUACGGGAGGGAGGAGUAGGGUAUCCUAGGGGAGGGAGGAUAGCCUGACCGAGCCACGCCGGGUGAGUAAGGAAGGCGUUCGGGAUGUAAAUCUCUGUGGUAUGAAAAGAAGGGAAAGGGUAGGACCCUUAGGUGACGGUACCCAACGAGAAAGCCCCGGCUAACUACGUG
rnacentral:rRNA from 1 species